AAACCAACAGGGAUUGCCCCAGUAACGGCGAGUGAAGCGGCAACAGCUCAAAUUUGAAAUCUGGCUCCUUCGGGGUCCGAGUUGUAAUUUGCAGAGGGUGCUUUGGCGUCGGCCGUGGUCUAAGUUCCUUGGAACAGGACGUCACAGAGGGUGAGAAUCCCGUACGUGGCCGCCGGCCUUCGCCGUGUAAAGCCCCUUCGACGAGUCGAGUUGUUUGGGAAUGCAGCUCUAAAUGGGAGAUAAAUUUCUUCUAAAGCUAAAUAUUGGCCAGAGACCGAUAGCGCACAAGUAGAGUGAUCGAAAGAUGAAAAGCACUUUGGAAAGAGAGUCAAAAAGCACGUGAAAUUGUUGAAAGGGAAGCGCUUGCAGCCAGACGUGCCCGCAGUUGCUCACCCGGGCGCUCGCCCGGGGCACUCUUCUGCGGGCAGGCCAGCAUCAGUUCGGGCGGUUGGAUAAAGGCCUCUGUCACGUACCGCCCCCUCGGGGGCGGCCUUAUAGGGGAGGCGCAACACGACCAGCCCGAACUGAGGACCGCGCAUCAUGCUAGGAUGCUGGCGUAAUGGCUGUAAGCGGC
rnacentral:rRNA from 1 species